rnacentral:rRNA from 1 species
GAUCAUGGCUCAGGAUGAACGCUGGCGGCGUGCUUAACACAUGCAAGUCGAACGAAGCCAAAAGGAAGCUUGCUUUCUUGAAGCUUAGUGGCGGACGGGUGAGUAACGCGUGAGAAACCUGCCCUUGAGUGGGGAAUAACACCGAGAAAUCGGUGCUAAUACCGCAUAAUGUCACGAUACCGCAUGAUAUUGUGACCAAAGGAUUUAUUCGCUUAAGGAUGGUCUCGCGUCCGAUUAGCUAGUUGGUGAGGUAACGGCCCACCAAGGCGACGAUCGGUAGCCGAACUGAGAGGUUGAUCGGCCACAUUGGGACUGAGACACGGCCCAGACUCCUACGGGAGGCAGCAGUGGGGAAUAUUGGGCAAUGGGCGAAAAAGCCUGACCCAGCAACGCCGCGUGAAGGAUGACGGUCUUCGGAUUGUAAACUUCUUUGAUUGGGGAAGAAUAAAUGACCUACCCAAAGAACAAGUCACGGCUAACUACGUGCCAGCCGCGGC